rnacentral:tRNA from 1 species
AGAGAAAUGACUGAGAGGUUUAUAGUUAUAAAUUGCUAAUUUAUUGUAUAUAAAUAUAUAUAUACCAAGGGUUCGAAUCCCUUUUUCUCUA